UACGUAGGGGGCUAGCGUUGUCCGGAAUCAUUGGGCGUAAAGCGCGUGUAGGCGGUCCGGUAAGUCUGCUGUGAAAGUCGGGGGCUCAACCCUCGAAUGCCGGUGGAUACUGUCGGGCUAGAGUGCGGAAGAGGCGAGUGGAAUUCCUGGUGUAGCGGUGAAAUGCGCAGAUGUCAGGAGGAACACCUAUUGCGAAGGCAGCUCGCUGGGACGUAACUGACGCUGAGACGCGAAAGCGUGGGGAGCAAACAGG
rnacentral:rRNA from 1 species